GCAACAACAGCCAGAAGGACCCACCCACAGGAGCUUAAACUGGAGCAGUGGCAUGCUGUGGACAGCAGGACAAGGCGAAGAAAUUUCCAGUUUUCUGACUGGAGGAUUAAAAUGGGGAGCUCCAGCAUACUUGAAAAGUGCCAGGACAUCAUGGAGGAAAAGGAGCCCAGAACACCGAAUCCAUGAAGGUCUUUGUGAACAUCUGGGCUUACCUCUGAACUAUACAUGCAUAAAUCUGACUUGAAACAUAUGUACAGUUUUCAUAAGACUUAAACAAGACCUUGAAUACUGUACCAUAAUAUUCAAAUUGUCCAAGAUACAAUCCAUAAUUACUUAAUAUAAGGCCAGGCACAGUA
rnacentral:lncRNA from 1 species